rnacentral:rRNA from 1 species
GACGAACGCUGGCGGCGUGCUUAACACAUGCAAGUCGAACGGAAAGGCCCUGCUUUUGUGGGGUGCUCGAGUGGCGAACGGGUGAGUAACACGUGAGUAACCUGCCCUUGACUUUGGGAUAACUUCAGGAAACUGGGGCUAAUACCGGAUAGGAGCUCCUGCUGCAUGGUGGGGGUUGGAAAGUUUCGGCGGUUGGGGAUGGACUCGCGGCUUAUCAGCUUGUUGGUGGGGUAGUGGCUUACCAAGGCUUUGACGGGUAGCCGGCCUGAGAGGGUGACCGGCCACAUUGGGACUGAGAGAGGGCCCAGACUCCUAGGGGAGGCAGCAGGGGGGAAUAUUGCACAGUGGGCGGAAGCCUGAUGCAGCAACGCCGCGUGCGGGAUGACGGCCUUCGGGUUGUAAACCGCUUUCGCCUGUGACGAAGCGUGAGUGACGGUAAUGGGUAAAGAAGCACCGGCUAACUACGUG